rnacentral:rRNA from 1 species
GAUGAACGCUGGCGGCGUGCCUAAUACAUGCAAGUCGAGCGAACGGACGAGAAGCUUGCUUCUCUGAUGUUAGCGGCGGACGGGUGAGUAACACGUGGAUAACCUACCUAUAAGACUGGGAUAACUUCGGGAAACCGUAGCUAAUACCGGAUAAUAUUUUGAACCGCAUGGUUCAAAAGUGAAAGACGGUCUUGCUGUCACUUAUAGAUGGAUCCGCGCUGCAUUAGCUAGUUGGUAAGGUAACGGCUUACCAAGGCAACGAUGCAUAGCCGACCUGAGAGGGUGAUAGGCCACACUGGAACGGAGACACGGUCCAGACGCCUACGAGAGGCAGCAGUAGGGAAUCUGCCGCAAUGGGCGAAAGCCUGACGGAGCAACGCCGCGUGAGUGAUGAAGGCCUUCGGAGCGUAAAACUCUGUUAUUAGUGAAGAACAGAUGUGGAAGUAACUGUGCACAGCGUGACGGUACCGAAUCAGAAAGCCACGGCUAACUACGUG